rnacentral:rRNA from 1 species
AACGUAGGAGACAAACGUUAUCCGGAGUUACUGGGCGUAAAGGGCGUGUAGGCGGUUCGUUAAGUCUGGCGUGAAAGCUCUCGGCUAAACCGGGAGAGGUCGUUGGAUACUGGCAAACUAGAGGACGGUAGAGGCGUGUGGAAUUCCGGGUGUAGUGGUGAAAUGCGUAGAGAUCCGGAGGAACACCAGUGGCGAAGGCGACACGCUGGGCCGUACCUGACGCUAAAGCGCGACAGCAUGGGGAGCGAACGGG